rnacentral:rRNA from 1 species
GACGAACACUGGCGGCGUGCUUAACACAUGCAAGUCGAACGGAAAGGCCUGCUUUCCCUUGUGGAUUGCGGGUACUCGAGUGGCGAACGGGUGAGUAACACGUGAGUGAUCUGCCCCCAACUUGGGUAUAAGCCUGGGAAACUGGGUCUAAUUCCCGAUAGGACUGCAGGGUGGUGCCUGUGGUGGAAAACGAUUUUCUAGUGGUUGGGGAUGAGCUCGCGGCCUAUCAGCUUGUUGGUGGGGUAAUGGCCUACCAAGGCGGCGACGGGUAGCCGGCCUGAGAGGGUGGACGGCCACAUUGGGACUGAGAUACGGCCCAGACUCCUACGGGAGGCAGCAGUGGGGAAUAUUGCACAAUGGGAGGAAGCCUGAUGCAGCGACGCCGCGUGGGGGAUGACGGCCUUCGGGUUGUAAACUCCUUUCGACCGCGAGGAAGCCACCUGGUUGGAAGGGUGGUGACGGUAGUGGUAGAAGAAGCACCGGCUAACUACGUG